rnacentral:rRNA from 1 species
UACGUAGGUGGCAAGCGUUGUCCGGAUUUAUUGGGUUUAAAGGGUGCGUAGGCGGCCUCUUAAGUCAGUUGUGAAAUAUCCCGGCUUAACCGGGAGGGUGCGAUUGAUACUGGGGGGCUUGAGUCGCGACGAGGUCAGCGGAAUUGACGGUGUAGCGGUGAAAUGCAUAGAUAUCGUCAAGAACACCGAUAGCGAAGGCAGCUGACUAGGGGCGUACUGACGCUGAGGCACGAAAGUGCGGGGAUCAAACAGG